GNNAUUGCGCAUGGGCGAANCCUGCGCAGCGACGCCGCGUGGAGGAUGAAGGUCUUCGGAUUGUAAACUCCUGUCGAGCGGGACGAAUGCGGUGAGCGUUAACAGCGCUCGCCGUUGACGGUACCGCUGGAGGAAGCCCCGGCUAACUCCGUGCCAGCAGCCGCGGUAAUACNGGAGGGGGCCAGCGUUGUUCGGAAUCAUUGGGCGUAAAGGGCGCGUAGGCGGCCAAUCAAGUCCGACGUGAAAUUCCUCGGCUCAACCGGGGGCCUGCGUCGGAUACUGCUUGGCUUGAGUCCCGGAGAGGGUAGUGGAAUUCCCAGUGUAGCGGUGAAAUGCGUAGAUACUGGGAGGAACACCGGUGGCGAAGGCGGCUACCUGGACGGGUACUGACGCUGAGGCGCGAAAGCUAGGGGAGCAAACAGGAUUAGAUACCCUGGUAGUCCUAGCUGUAAACGAUGGGCACUUGGUGUUGCGGGUAUCGACCCCUGCAGUGCCGAAGCUAACGCAUUAAGUGCCCCGCCUGGGGAGUACGGUCGCAAGGCUGAAACUCAAAAGAAUUGACGGA
rnacentral:rRNA from 1 species